rnacentral:rRNA from 1 species
CCUGGUCUUGACAUCCACGGAACUUUCCAGAGAUGGAUUGGUGCCUUCGGGAACCGCGAGACAGGUGCUGCAUGGCUGCCGUCAGCUCGUGUCGUGAGAUGUUGGGUUGAGUCCCGCAACGAGCGCAACCCUUGUCCUUAGUUGCCAGCACGUAAUGGUGGGAACUCUAAGGAGACCGCCGGUGACAAACCGGAGGAAGGUGGGGAUGACGUCAAGUCACCAUGGCCCUUACGACCAGGGCUACACACGUACUACAAUGGUGGGGACAGAGGGCCGCAAUCCCGCGAGGGCGAGCCAAUCCCGGAAACCCCAUCUCAGUCCGGAUUGGAGUCUGCAACUCGACUCCAUGAAGUCGGAAUCGCUAGUAAUCGCAGAUCAGCAUUGCUGCGGUGAAUACGUUCCCGGGUCUUGUACACACGC